UGCGCCUCGCAGCCAAUCCUGCCCUCGACUCGUCCCGCUCCCACACGAACCGCCAGACUAAACCCUAGCCUCUUUCCCCUCGAUCCCCACAGCCUCUCCUGCCUCCUCCAUCUCUCUCCUCGCGUCACCAUGGGAGCCCCGCCGACGCCUGCUGGUCGUCCUCCCUCGUCUCUGUUCGAAGCCGAGGACCAGCUCACUCCACAGCUUUUCUUCACCCACGACCUAGGGUUGGGGAGGCCGGGUCUUCUCGGUGGGGUGGAGGAGCAGGGGAUGGCCGGGAGGCCGACCGUGGGGGAGCAUCGAGGCCGGCGGAUGGAGCAGCGAGUCCCAAGCUCUAGGCGUCGUACACAUUGCGGGAUGGAGAAAGGCCGUCAUGGGGUGCAAGGGGCAGCGGGGGAAGAACGGUGGGUCUUUCAUCUCCUCUCUUCUAAUCGCGACUCCUACGACCUCGCCACCGUUGCUCGCUCGACUGGCGUAUGGGGCGGCAGCCGGGACGUUGGCCCUCGGCCGAACUCGAAGGCGAGUCUAGAUGAUGAGACCCGUGCGAUUGUGUGAAGCAAAUGUACAUGGCGAUGCAGGCCGGCGGUUAGUGUUGCAGCCUGCACACACGAUAGGAGCAGCAGUCGGGUCCAUGGGCGUUGCUUGGGGAGCAGCGGUCAAGCCACGGGGUACCAUCAAUUCAGAAAAUAACUUCCCUUCUUGUGAGAUAUCAAACAAUACAUGUCCUACAAAUCCGAGAUUCAGGCAGCCUUGUUGAGGUACGAAGAAUUGGCGCAUUUUGUCGGAAGAUGACAAACUAUUUCUUCAUUCACAUGGCCAGGCUGCACAGGGAAGUUCUUUUCUUCCUGGUAUCAAGCAAUGGUUGCUAUCAUUUAUUUUCCGCAAGACUUGGAAUGAGGAACCUGAACAUGCUUUCGUUACCUACUUAGCUGUAUUACACGCCAUUCAUUCAUUUGCUAUGUGAUCUUGAUCUGAGGUUUGCAUUCUUACUUGAUUGGUUAUUCCCAGAUUAAUCUCAAUGUUUUUAAUGCUCAAGUCAAUUAUGAUGCUUAAAAUCGUCUCUUAACUUAUUGCAUUCACUGCUGAAAUUUUCACACUCCCUGUCAUUAUUGUGUACAGUGAAUCUUGCAUCUUUUGAAUUGUUGAAACAAACUUUAUGCUUAAUUGCUUACGCCCCUCUCUUGGUCGUGUGGUCUUUGUUGUGAAGGAAAAAUGUUUUGUCUCGAUUUGUUUGAAAUAGUAAAAAGAAAUUGCAGAGGGUCCUGCAUCUGAAGAAGAAAUUUUAUUUCUACUUUCAAGACUAUGUGGAUCUUAUCAUAUGGAAGGUACCUAAUAUAUAUACUUUCAAGUCUAGCUUUAUUGAAUCACAAUAGUAUUGUGUAAACAUAGUUUGUUGGUUCUGAACUUUUGCGGCACAUAAAUUUUAGUCAGGAAUUAUGAUAUUGGCCAUUUCCACUGAACAAUAGAAGGACACAUGUAAGGACAUAUAGAAACUGAAGUUAACAUAAUCCCAUAGAAUAUAGUGUGAGAAUAGUACACCGAUUUAGUGAGGCAAGUACUGGCUUGUUUUGCCAUCCCUGUGUUGAAAGUUAGUUUAGGUAAUCUUGGUAUAAAAUCAUUUCCUUAAAUUAUAACUUAUGGUCGGACAUUGUUAUUUCACCUGAAUAUUUGAUUAUACAUCUAAGUUAUGGGAAAUAGAUAGAGUAAGAGGAAAUUGGGCGUUCUUUGGUGGGACCUUGCCACGGUUGCCUUGGGUUUUGGCAUCAAGCUCGACUCUAUAUGGCUAGCCUUCCAUGGUUAGAUCUAGGGACCCAAGCUGCAGGUGAGCUCUUCUUUUCAUCUACAGGUUAUGAGUUAUAUCCACCUCAAUGAGAUUUAGUUUGCGCACUAACAACUAUAGGUUGCGUAAUGUUUCGAGUGUUCUUCCAUAUUUCUCCAGUUUAGUCGUGUAUUUCUUUGCGGCCAUGUUCGCUUCAAUAUCCCCUUCUGAUUCUCACACGUUGGUUGCAACUUCUUUGUUUAUGUUGGACUAUUCUGUGAACUGCCAUCAUGACAGCUUGCUGAAAAUAGUGUUGUCGGAUUGGUAGCCAUUAUUAAGUGCUUAUCAGUUAACUUAGCUGAGCUCUACGGGGCAGCCAAAUGAUUAUUGGGUGAUUUAUUUGCAGUAAAUUAUAGUGUUUCUUUGAUUGAUUCUAGGAUGUGCUUGAGCAUAACUUGGUCACAUCACAGAUUAAUCUAUUCAGUAGUAGAAUGUUGGAAUGAAGUAUUAGAUAGAUAAUUUGUUCAUCCAAGUCUCUCCUUGCUCCCAUUUCCUCCAAGUAAAUAUGCAAUCAUGAACAAGCACUGGGAAUCUUUGGUUUACUGUUUCUUUUCCUCUGGAUUCCUACCAGUGCCUAGCGUCAGUGUUAUUUAGAGUUUUUGGUAAUUUAUUCAGUAGAGCGAAAUUGUGCCUUUCAUCUCAUGUUCUUGUGUCACAAUAAAGUAUGGUAUAGAAGAUAAUUCAAUUAACAAAAAUAUUGUGGUAUCCAUUUAGUUCAAAAUGGACCAAUUCCUACAUGGACAACCAAUUGACUGGACUAUGUGUUAGAAUUUAGUUCAAAAUGCACCAGUUCUUACAUGGACAACCAUUUGACUGAACUAUGUGCGAGAACUUAGGUUUCCUUCAUGGUACUGAACGACAACCUAAUGACGUGAUUCCAGGAAGGGAAGGAUGUGGUCGCAAAGGCCAAGACUGGUUCUAGAAAGACCUUUGCCUACCUUAUCCGCUGCUGCAAGAGUUGUUGAAGUUGUGCAAAGAAGGGGUAUUCAGAAAUCUGCACCAAAUGCCUUAAUCCUGGUGCCAACUCGCGACUUAUGCCAGUAGGUAUCUGACUUCUGUUUCUUCGCAAGAUAUUUCGUAUGUAUAGGCAACUACUUUAGAGUCGCUUAACCUAGCCAUGUUUAAUUGGACAUAUAAAUGAGUUUAAAAUUGAGAGCAGUUGUCGCCAUUGAGAAUGGUUGGCAUCUACAUUAUUUGUAGAUUUGGUGUUUGGUUGAUUUGACAUAUAAAUGAGUGUAAAAUUCACGAGCAUGACAAAUGGUCCAUGUAAAUUUGAGCAAAGUCGUAAGAGGUACUAAUUAAUAUCUGAACAUGCCACUCUCUGAAUUCUGGAAUGACCAGACAUGAUCUUUUGUUUGUCAUGUAUGCCAUUACUAAGUGUUGUAGUUACGCUGGUUGUAGUAAUUCGACACUUUAUAUGGAAGGUGUGAAAGUUAAAGGUCUGUGAAAUACUGUGCUAAACUCUUAUUUGUGGGUCAGGUUAAAGAUCCCAUGUUAGUUUGCUUGCUUUAUGUUCAGAAGGGACAAUGUAAUAUUGGUUAAGUCAAGUUUUUAUAUAUUCUUAUUACUGCUUACUUAUUUAUCAACUGA